rnacentral:tRNA from 1 species
GAGAGUAUAGCUCAGUGGUAGAGCACGUGCUUGGCACGCGCGGGGCUCUGGGGUCAAUCCCCAGUGCCGCCU